UCGAGAAUCUUCGGCAAUGGGCGCAAGCCUGACCGAGCGACGCCGCGUGGAGGACGAAGGCCUUCGGGUUGUAAACUCCUGUCGAGGGGGAGGAAGGUCGGCAACGGCUUGACCGAUCCCUGGAGGAAGCACGGGCUAAGUUCGUGCCAGCAGCCGCGGUAAGACGAACCGUGCGAACGUUAUUCGGAAUCACUGGGCUUAAAGCGCGUGUAGGCGGAUGGGUACGUCGGUCGUUGAAAGCCCCCGGCUCAACCGGGGAAUGGGCGCCGAAACGACCCGUCUGGAGGGACGUAGGGGGACCUGGAACUUCCGGUGGAGCGGUGAAAUGCGUUGAGAUCGGAAGGAACGCCCGUGGCGAAAGCGAGGUCCUGGACGUCUACUGACGCUGAGACGCGAAAGCUAGGGGAGCGAACG
rnacentral:rRNA from 1 species